rnacentral:rRNA from 1 species
GCCACCGCUAUUGGAAUUCGAUUAAGACAUGCGAGUCGAGAGUCUUAGGGACUCGGCGGACGGCUCAGUAACACGCGGAUAAUCUGCCCUUAGGUGGAGGAUAACCUCGGGAAACUGAGAAUAAUACUCCAUAUGUCUAGAAUGCUGGAAUGCUUUUAGGCUUAAAGCUCCGGCGCCUAAGGAUGAAUCUGCGGCCUAUCAGGUUGUAGUAGGUGUAACGGACCCACUAGCCUACGACGGGUACGGGCUUUGGGAGAAGUUGCCCGGAGAUGGACUCUGAGACACGAGUCCAGGCCCUACGGGGUGCAGCAGUUGCGAAAACUUCACAAUGUCGGAAACGGCGAUGAGGGAAUUCCAAGUGCCAACACUUUGUGUUGGCUGUUUGUCUGCCUAAAAAGCAGAUAAAGUAAGAGCCGGGUAAGACGGGUGCCAGCCGCCGCGGUAAUACCCGCGGCUCGAGUGGUGGUCAUUUUUAUUGAGCUUAAAGCGUUCGUAGCCUGUCCAGUAAAUCCUUGGGUAAAUCGGGCAGCUUAACUGUUCGAAUUCCGAGGAGACUGCUGGACUUGGGACCGGAAGAGGUCAAAAGUACUCUUGGGGUAGGGGUAAAAUCCUGUAAUCCCACGAGGACUACCAGUGGCGAAGGCGUUUGACUAGGACGGAUUCGACGGUAAGGAACGAAACCCCGGGUCGCAAACGGGAUUAGAUACCCCGGUAGUCCGGGGCGUAAACGCUGCAGGCUUGGUGUUGGGGGCUCUACGAGAGCGCCCAGUGCCGAAGAGAAAUUGUUAAGCCUGCCGCUUGGGGAGUACGGUCGCAAGACUGAAACUUAAAGGAAUUGGCGG